rnacentral:rRNA from 1 species
GAUGAACGCUGGCGGCGUGCCUAAUACAUGCAAGUCGAGCGAACAGACGAGGAGCUUGCUCCUCUGACGUUAGCGGCGGACGGGUGAGUAACACGUGGAUAACCUACCUAUAAGACUGGGAUAACUUCGGGAAACCGGAGCUAAUACCGGAUAAUAUAUUGAACCGCAUGGUUCAAUAGUGAAAGACGGUUUUGCUGUCACUUAUAGAUGGAUCCGCGCCGCAUUAGCUAGUUGGUAAGGUAACGGCUUACCAAGGCAACGAUGCGUAGCCGACCUGAGAGGGUGAUAGGCCACACUGGAACUGAGACACGGUCCAGACUCCUAAGGGAGGCAGCAGUAGGGAAUCUUCCGCAAUGGGCGAAAGCAUGACGGAGCAACGCCGCGUGAGUGAUGAAGGUCUUCGGAUCGUAAAACUCUGUUAUUAGGGAAGAACAAAUGUGUAAGUAACUAUGCACGUCUUGACGGUACCUAAUCAGAAAGCCACGGCUAACUACGUG